AGAGUUUGAUUCUGGCUCAGGAUGAACGCUAGCGAUAGGCCUAACACAUGCAAGUCGAGGGGCAGCACAUGAAGUAGCAAUACGGAUGGUGGCGACCGGCGCACGGGUGAGUAACGCGUAUGCAACCUGCCUACAACAGGGGAAUAACCCGUUGAAAGACGGACUAAUACCCCAUAACACAGGGAUCCCGCAUGGGAAUAUUUGUUAAAGAUUUAUCGGUUGUAGAUGGGCAUGCGUUCCAUUAGCUGGUUGGUGAGGUAACGGCUCACCAAGGCAACGAUGGAUAGGGGAACUGAGAGGUUUAUCCCCCACACUGGUACUGAGACACGGACCAGACUCCUACGGGAGGCAGCAGUGAGGAAUAUUGGUCAAUGGACGCAAGUCUGAACCAGCCACGUCGCGUGAAGGAAGACGGCCCUACGGGUUGUAAACUUCUUUUGUAAGGGAAUAAAGUGCAGUACGUGUACUGUUUUGCAUGUACCUUACGAAUAAGGAUCGGCUAACUCCGUGCCAGCAGCCGCGGUAAUACGGAGGAUCCGAGCGUUAUCCGGAUUUAUUGGGUUUAAAGGGUGCGCAGGCGGGAGAUUAAGUCGGCGGUGAAAUUUUGCAGCUCAACUGUAAAAGUGCCUUCGAAGCUGGUUUUCUUGAGUGUGGAUGAAGUAGGCGGAAUUUGUGGUGUAGCGGUGAAAUGCAUAGAUAUCACGAGGAACUCCGAUUGCGCAGGCAGCUUACUAAACCAUAACUGACGCUCAGGCACGAAGGCGUGGGGAUCAAACAGGAUUAGAUACCCUGGUAGUC
rnacentral:rRNA from 1 species